CCCUCGCGAGCUCGAACCCGUUCUGCCAACGAGCGAUGAGGAACGGCCGGAGGCUGAGCACCUCCCUCCUUCCUGGCUUCUCCCUCCCCCCCUCAACGGUGUGAAUGACACUCCAGUGUUUGCGGUCGUGGGUGCUUACAUAAAAGGAGGGGUCGGAGCCUCAGUCGUUAAUGACCUUGUACCCUUGCUGCACAGUCUUAUCCGAUGCAAGUUCGCAAGAAGAAAGACUUAAUAUGGAUCCCGCUCUAUUUGACAAAGUAAACGAUAAGCAAGAUGGUAUCCUUCAUUAAGAUGCAGGACGCAGCCUUGGGCAAAUGGCUCCCCAGCUCACCGCCAUACACUUCUACUUACUCGAAAGCAAGCUCACACUGGCUCUUGUCCCAGGAAGGAGCUAUUUGGGGGAACUCAGCAUCUGCCUCUCCCAAUUGGCCUCACUGGAAUCAGACUCAACAGUUUUCUCAGAAAGAUGGAGAUCAGGAUGGCUGAUCUGGAUACCAUGUGAAGAGUCCUCUCUUGAUUUUGCAUCCUGCAGCUUUCAACAGCACCAGACCACUAAUGCUAGCUUAACACUGAAGGAAAGUCAAUAAAAAAACCCAAAAGUUCAACAAAUACAUUAAGUGGUUCUUUUGUGUUAAGAAUAUCAAUUGUGUUGGAAAUUUGCUGUGUUAUCAACCCCCCCUUAUUCAUUCAUAUCCGUAUUUAUCCAUUCACUGUCAUCUUGCCCUUCUCUGUCCAGCUGUGACAUAUCCUUGCCCUGGCCCCAUAGAGCAGUAAGGCUGUGUGCCACAGAUGUGGAUUUCCAUCACAUAUGCCUUGGCUGUGCCAACAAAUUGUUGGAUCUUACCCAGUUAUUAGUUCUUUCUAAUAGAUCUGAUUUCAUUUUGUUCAUAGCAACCUUUCAGGGAGCAGAAUAUGUGGUAUUGGGUAAAAGGGCAUUUUGCACUAAACACUUUAAUUUUGCAACUCGGAGAAUAAUUUAUGCAUAUUACUAAUUCUAAACAAUUCCUGAGCAUUAACAACUUGCAGGGUCACAGCUCAGAUGCAUGGAGUAUCGCAAACUGCCAUCCUCACCACCACUACAAGAGGAAAAAGUAUGUUUGGUCCUCAGUAUUGGCUGAUUAUGUAAGUGCUGCCCCUCACAGCUCUUUCACUUUGCAUGGAGGUCAAAGGUCUUCCUGCUGUUGAUCAUUCCUUUUGCUCCUGAGGAAUGCAGUAAGUUCAUAGAUUUACAUUCAUGUCCAGACCGUAUGCCUCUCAUUGGCAAACAGUACAAAGAGAGUGCAGAACUUAGACGUCAUACAGAAAGGCUUUUCUGAUAAUCUUUCUUCUACAACUCCCUUUACUCUUCACAGGUUGCUUUUCAAUUAAAGGGAGGGCCACCCCAUUUGGUGUAGACCACCUCUUUUAAUAUUGACUGGCAAUGCAAGCAGCUGUUCCUUGCAGAGUCUGUUAACUUGUUUGCCCAACCUGGCUCCUGGCAAGCUCCAGGACAGACCGCCAAACAACAUAUGAUGUCUGCAUCCUGGAUAUAAAAGCUUAGUAGACACCAUACCACUGUUCACUAUAAUGCAGCUUUCUAAAUUUACA
ensembl:lncRNA